UGGGGAAUUUUGGACAAUGGGCGAAAGCCUGAUCCAGCAAUGCCGCGUGUGUGAAGAAGGCCUUCGGGUUGUAAAGCACUUUUGUCCGGAAAGAAAUCCUUGGCUCUAAUACAGUCGGGGGAUGACGGUACCGGAAGAAUAAGCACCGGCUAACUACGUGCCAGCAGCCGCGGUAAUACGUAGGGUGCAAGCGUUAAUCGGAAUUACUGGGCGUAAAGCGUGCGCAGGCGGUUUGCUAAGACCGAUGUGAAAUCCCCGGGCUCAACCUGGGAACUGCAUUGGUGACUGGCAGGCUAGAGUAUGGCAGAGGGGGGUAGAAUUCCACGUGUAGCAGUGAAAUGCGUAGAGAUGUGGAGGAAUACCGAUGGCGAAGGCAGCCCCCUGGCAAGUACUGACGCUCAUGCACGAAAGCGUGGGGAGCAAACAGGAUUAGAUACCCUGGUAGUCCACGCCCUAAACGAUGUCAACUAGUUGUUGGGGGAUUCAUUUCCUUAGUAACGUAGCUAACGCGUGAAGUUGACCGCCUGGGGAGUACGGUCGCAAGAUUAAAACUUAAAGGAAUUGACGGGGGUUAUAGCUGUUU
rnacentral:rRNA from 1 species